rnacentral:misc_RNA from 1 species
AAGGAUCAUUACUGAAUUGUUAACAUGAGUUGUUGCUGGCCCCCCAAACGGAGGCAUGUGCACACUCUGUUUACACAUCCACUCACACCUGUGCACCCUCUGUAGUUCUGUGGCCUGGGUGACUCUGUCCCCUUGCUGUCGUUCUACAUUUUUACACACAUACACUGUAACAUAGUUUUGUGGAAUGUAUCCUGCAUAUUAUGCAACACAAUACAACUUUCAGCAACGGAUCUCUUGGCUCUC